rnacentral:rRNA from 1 species
GAUGAACGCUGGCGGCGUGCCUAAUACAUGCAAGUCGAGCGAACGGACGAGAAGCUUGCUUCUCUGAUGUUAGCGGCGGACGGGUGAGUAACACGUGGAUAACCUACCUAUAAGACUGGGAUAACUUCGGGAAACCGGAGCUAAUACCGGAUAAUAUUUUGAACCGCAUGGUUCAAAAGUGAAAGACGGUCUUGCUGUCACUUAUAGAUGGAUCCGCGCUGCAUUAGCUAGUUGGUAAGGUAACGGCUUACCAAGGCAACGAUGCAUAGCCGACCUGAGAGGGGGAUAGGCCACAGUGGAACUGAGACACGGUCCAGACACCUACGGGAGGCAGCAGUAGGGAAUCUUCCGCAAUGGGCGAAAGCCUGACGGAGCAACGCCGCGGGAGGGAUGAAGGUCUUCGGAUCGGAAAACUCUGUUAUUAGGGAAGAACAUAUGUGUAAGUAACUGUGCACAUCUUGACGGUACCUAAUCAGAAAGCCACGGCUAACUACGUG